rfam:Camelus ferus unplaced genomic scaffold scaffold649, whole genome shotgun sequence.
GAGGGUAUAGCUCAGGGGUAGAGUGCGUGUCUAGCAUGCACGAGGUCCUGGGUUCAAUCCCCAGUGCCUUCA